rnacentral:lncRNA from 1 species
AGGUCUUCCUGAGAUGUAAGCAAUAAAGCUUUGCCGUAGAAGGAUCUGGUUGUCCGAGUAUGUUUUGCUGGCGAAACAUUACAAGGACAAGAUCUAUCUGCAUUUUGGCUGCCAUGACAGUUUUGAGCCAUAUGACUUGAUUAUUGAGAAAUAAAUUCGGAUCCUGUGGAAGAACUGCAGCAGAACUUCCUUCCUGAAAGAAACUGGAAAUAUCAAUCUGCAGAUGGAGUUGGAGGUUGAGAAAAAUAAGCUGAAAAUCCAGGCUACAAUAUAUUAGAGGAGUUACUGUGGCUUCAAGCUGUUGUUUCAACUGAGCAACUUUUCCAAGUGGUGGUGGUAUUAGAGCUUCUGGACACUCAAAGAAGUAAGGGGAGACUAUUCAUCUAAAAAUUCCAAUUUGGUUUCAUAUAUAUGUUUCUGCAAGUUUCUCCUUGAGCCAUCCUUGAAAUCUAAAGAAAACAUACACCUGAGCGGCCCUUGUUAACAUCUGUCAACUCAAAGGCACUGUGCGAGUGGGUGGUCCAUAGCUGGAUGAUCCCAUGGCUUCUGGGUUUAAGACAAGGCAGCAUAUCAUGGAAAAACAAGGACAAAAAAUGGAACUGGGACUGAAAGAAAGGCCAUCGGAAGACUGCCCCACCUGAGGAUCCAUCAACGUCCCCCGCCCCCCAUUGCUGAUGCCAAGAAGAACUUGCUGACAGGAGCCUGGUAUAGCUGUUCCCUGAGAGAUUCUUCCAGUACCUGACUAAUACAGAUGCAGAUACAGCCAACUAUCAUUACUGAGCCUGGGGACCCUAAUGGAAGUGUUAGGGGAAGGACUGAAGGGUCUGAAGAGGAUUACCACCCUAUAGGAAGACAAUAUUAACUAAUUAGACCACCCAGAGCUCCCAGGGAGUAAAUGACCAACCACAGAGAAUACAUGGAGGGAUCCAUGCCUCCAGACACAUAUGCAGAAGAGGAUGGUCUUAUCUGACAUCAAUGGGAGGGGAAGCCCUUGGUUUUGUAGAGGCUUAAUGCCCCAGUAUAGGGGGAUGAUAGAGUAGUGAGGUGGGAGUGGGUAUGUGGGUGGUUGAAAUGAGGAGAUAGUGCAGCUACUUGUCCAAGGUGACCACUGGAAGAGAAUCCUUUGAUGGAAGACAAACAGGACGUUGCCCUCUACUCCGCAUGCUGAAGGAUAUGUUAAAAGAAUUCCAGAGAAAGGCACAUCUACAUAUUUUGUUGUAUCUGGCACUUCAAGAGGUCUCUGGAGACUGAGACCUGACUGGAAAGGUCCCCAAGUCAACAUGGCAGAGACUCUGAUUAAUAUGGAUGCUUUCAAGCUUCAGUGAGACCUCUUCUUUCAACAGAAUUCAGAGGGAAGCUGAAGUACACUGCCACAAGCCUUGUGAAAGACAGCCUCUGCCCCCUCCCCAGCUGACAGGACCAGACGGAAUCUCUUUGGGUGCUGGAGAGGUUGAUGAGACGCUGCAAGAAUGAAGCUCCUGAUCCAGUUGCCCCUGUGGAUGUGGUGGAUGAUCCCGCAAGCACAAACGAUGGAGCCGAGAUGGGAGAUCCUUUCCGUGUUCCAGAAGCCGAUACCAGCUCGAC